UACAGAGGUCUCAAGCGUUGUUCGGAUUCAUUGGGCGUAAAGGGUGCGUAGGCGGCGCGGUAAGUCGGGUGUGAAAUCUCGGGGCUUAACUCCGAAACUGCAUUCGAUACUGCCGUGCUUGAGGACUGGAGAGGAGACUGGAAUUUACGGUGUAGCGGUGAAAUGCGUAGAUAUCGUAAGGAAGACCAGUGGCGAAGGCGGCUACCUGGACAAUUGCUGACGCUCAGGCACGAAAGCGUGGGGAGCAAAAGGG
rnacentral:rRNA from 2 species